rnacentral:rRNA from 1 species
UAUAAGACUGGGAUAACUUCGGGAAACCGGAGCUAAUACCGGAUAACAUUUGGAACCGCAUGGUUCUAAAGUGAAAGAUGGUUUUGCUAUCACUUAUAGAUGGACCCGCGCCGUAUUAGCUAGUUGGUAAGGUAACGGCUUACCAAGGCGACGAUACGUAGCCGACCUGAGAGGGUGAUCGGCCACACUGGAACUGAGACACGGUCCAGACUCCUACGGGAGGCAGCAGUAGGGAAUCUUCCGCAAUGGGCGAAAGCCUGACGGAGCAACGCCGCGUGAGUGAUGAAGGGUUUCGGCUCGUAAAACUCUGUUAUUAGGGAAGAACAAAUGUGUAAGUAACUGUGCACGUCUUGACGGUACCUAAUCAGAAAGCCACGGCUAACUACGUGCCAGCAGCCGCGGUAAUACGUAGGUGGCAAGCGUUAUCCGGAAUUAUUGGGCGUAAAGCGCGCGUAGGCGGUUUCUUAAGUCUGAUGUGAAAGCCCACGGCUCAACCGUGGAGGGUCAUUGGAAACUGGGAAACUUGAGUGCAGAAGAGGAAAGUGGAAUUCCAUGUGUAGCGGUGAAAUGCGCAGAGAUAUGGAGGAACACCAGUGGCGAAGGCGACUUUCUGGUCUGUAACUGACGCUGAUGUGCGAAAGCGUGGGGAUCAAACAGGAUUAGAUACCCUGGUAGUCCACGCCGUAAACGAUGAGUGCUAAGUGUUAGGGGGUUUCCGCCCCUUAGUGCUGUAGCUACGCAUUAAGCACUCCGCCUGGGGAGUACGACCGCAAGGUUGAAACUCAAGC